GAUCCUGUGUAGUGAAAGGCCGCGCCUGGGCGGCGCUCGUCUAUUUAUAGUGUGUGAGUAUCGCGAGAGUUGCUCCCGGAGAGCCCUGCGCGCUGAAUGCCGAAUACACAGCGGCGAAGGGGAGCGCUUUCUGCUGGCGUAUCCAGGUUGCGGGGCGGGUGCGCCGCCAGCCCGGCCGCUUGCUAUAUCAGGGGCGCGCAGCGGCGCGGGUUCGUCUGCAGCGGCGCGACACAGGUACUGAGCGCGGCCCGGGAAUGCUGAGUGCUUGGUGUGGAGAGAAUCGGUCUGGUGGGGCUGAUCCGCCCGGGCAGCAGGGCUCGGCCUCGCCUGUCCGAGUGAGAGCUGCCAUGUGCCUGUGCUACACCUGAGUGAUUCUUCCGUGGCGCUGAAAGCGAGCAGACGAAGGAGCUGCUGCAAUGGAUGGUAAUGGAGUAUUCGCAGCUGGGACGCUUUGAAUUUUUUAUGCUUUCCUAUGCAAUAAAGAUUAACGAUUUGAAAGCC